AGGAACAAUAACAGUGGCGGCGGCCAGCUCUGGAGCCCUGGGUUCAGAUCCCGCAGUAACUACAGAGCUUUCUGUCUGCAGGGGCCUGGAUGCCCCGGGGGCAG
rnacentral:pre_miRNA from 1 species